rnacentral:tRNA from 1 species
GCCUUCGUGGUGUAGUGGCCAGCACGCUCGACGCGUAACCGAGAGAUCCGUGGUUCGAUUCCCGGCGAAGGCG